AUGGAUUUAAACCCAUCAGUGACGUGCUGGAACGUCCCAGGAUUGAACAACCCAGCGAAGAGGCAAGCGGUCAAAGAUUUCCUUGUUUCGGUGCGGCCUAAGCUAGUGUGCUUACAAGAAACUAAGCUCGAUGUAGUGGACAACUUUCUCUUAAUGCAAUGCUGUGGGCCGUCCUUAGACGGCUUUGCUUAUUUGUCGGCAGUUGAUACGAGAGGAGGGAUCAUUCUUGCUUGGGACACCACCGUGAUGCUAGUUGAUCACAUCACGCGUGAUACGAACUCCAUCAUUGGACUGGUACACCCAAAGUUAGGGGAUGAUUGGUGGGUUAUGGUGGUCUAUGGACCACAAGGAGACGACCUCAAGAUGCAAUUCCUUGAGGAGCUCACUGCAAGGCAAACGGCAUGCCCGGGGCCGUGGAUGGUCUUGGGUGAUUUCAACUUAAUCCUUCAAGCCUCGGAGAAAAAUAAUACGAACCUUAACCGGGUCAUGAUGAACAAGUUUAGGAGCUUCGUCGACAAUAAUGAACUGAAAGAGCUUUACAUGCAUGGGCGUCGAUUUACAUGGUCGAAUGAGAGAGAUGCCCCGACAAUGACAAAAAUCGACAGGAUCCUCGUCUCGGUGGAUUGGGAACUGGCGCGGCUAGAUUAUCUACUGCAAGCACUCUCGACAAGCAUCUCUGAUCAUGCCCCACUACAUCUUUCGACCAAUGCUACUUAUUGCCGAGCAAAAGAUUUCACUUUAAGAGUUUCUGGGCCAAGCUAG
rnacentral:rRNA from 1 species